AGAUUGAACGCUGGCGGCAGGCCUAACACAUGCAAGUCGAGCGGCAGCACGGGUACUUGUACCUGGUGGCGAGCGGCGGACGGGUGAGUAAUGCCUAGGAAUCUGCCUGGUAGUGGGGGAUAACGCUCGGAAACGGACGCUAAUACCGCAUACGUCCUACGGGAGAAAGCAGGGGACCUUCGGGCCUUGCGCUAUCAGAUGAGCCUAGGUCGGAUUAGCUAGUUGGUGAGGUAAUGGCUCACCAAGGCGACGAUCCGUAACUGGUCUGAGAGGAUGAUCAGUCACACUGGAACUGAGACACGGUCCAGACUCCGUACGGGAGCAGCGAGUAGGGGAAUA
rnacentral:rRNA from 1 species